AUUGAACGCUGGCGGCAUGCUUUACACAUGCAAGUCGAACGGCAGCGCGGGCUUCGGCCUGGCUGCGAGUGGCGAACGGGUGAGUAAUGCAUCGGAACGUGCCCAGUAGUGGGGGAUAGCCCGGCCACAGCCGGAUUCAUACCCCAUACGACCUGACGGUGAACGCGGGGGACCGAAAGGCCUCCCGCUCUUGGAGCGGCCGAUGUCGGAUUAGCUAGUUGGUGGGGUAAAGGCUUACCAAGGCGACGAUCCGUAGCUGGUCUGAGAGGACGACCAGCCACACUGGGACUGAGACACGGCCCAGACUCCUACGGGAGGCAGCAGUGGGGAAUUUUGGACAAUGGGGGCAAGCCUGAUCCAGCCAUGCCGCGUGCGGGAAGAAGGCCUUCGGGUUGUAAAGCGCGUUUGUUCGGGAAGAAAUCCUCUGGGCUAAUACCCCGGGGGGAUGACGGUACCGGAAGAAUAAGCACCGGCUAACUACGUG
rnacentral:rRNA from 1 species